GGGGCAGUGGCGGAAUUGGCAGACGCCGGACACUUAAAAUGUUCUGUCCGAAAGGACGUGUGGGUUCGAGUCCCACCUGCCUCA
rnacentral:tRNA from 1 species